rnacentral:rRNA from 1 species
UACGAAGGGUGCAAGCGUUAAUCGGAAUUACUGGGCGUAAAGGGUGCGUAGGCGGUUGUUUAAGUCUGUUGUGAAAGCCCCGGGCUCAACCUGGGAAUGGCAAUGGAUACUGGCAAGCUAGAGUGCGGUAGAGGGUAGUGGAAUUCCCGGUGUAGCGGUGAAAUGCGUAGAGAUCGGGAGGAACACCAGUGGCGAAGGCGGCUACCUGGACCAGCACUGACACUGAGGCACGAAAGCGUGGGGAGCAAACAGG